rnacentral:rRNA from 1 species
UACGAAGGGGGCUAGCGUUGCUCGGAAUGACUGGGCGUAAAGGGCGCGUAGGCGGGCUCACAAGUCAGGGGUGAAAGCCCACGGCUCAACCGUGGAAGGGCCUUUGAUACUGUGGGCCUCGAGGGGGGUAGGGGCGUGCGGAACUUCCGGUGGAGCGGUGAAAUGCGUAGAUAUCGGAAGGAACAUCGGUGGCGAAAGCGGCGCGCUGGACCCCUUCUGACGCUGAGGCGCGAAAGCCAGGGGAGCAAACGGG